rnacentral:lncRNA from 1 species
GGGUUUAUUAAGAUAUGGGAAAGAAAACUCUUGGUUGAGUGGUUGAAAAAUGGAGGGCUCCUAUUGGCUGCACCUAAUGAUUAAUUAUUAUGGUCAAUAUUGACUUGAUAAAUGUAAGAUAUAUCGAUGGCUGGAUUUAGGUAUAUGCAAUCCAUGUUUUAAUCAUCAUGUCAUUGGUAUUUUAGGAUUUAUUGCAAAGUCUUGUUUGAAAUGGGGUUAUGAAAUACAAAUGAAACUGAAAAGA